rnacentral:rRNA from 1 species
GGCUCAGGAUGAACGCUGGCGGCGUGCUUAACACAUGCAAGUCGAACGGUGAAGCCCAGCUUGCUGGGUGGAUCAGUGGCGAACGGGUGAGUAACACGUGAGCAAUCUGCCCCUGACUCUGGGAUAAGCGCUGGAAACGGCGUCUAAUACUGGAUACGAACCGUGGAGGCAUCUUCAACGGUUGGAAAGAUUUUUUGGUCAGGGAUGAGCUCGCGGCCUAUCAGCUUGUUGGUGAGGUAAUGGCUCACCAAGGCGUCGACGGGUAGCCGGCCUGAGAGGGUGACCGGCCACACUGGGACUGAGACACGGCCCAGACUCCUACGGGAGGCAGCAGUGGGGAAUAUUGCACAAUGGGCGCAAGCCUGAUGCAGCAACGCCGCGUGAGGGAUGACGGCCUUCGGGUUGUAAACCUCUUUUAGCAGGGAAGAAGCGAAAGUGACGGUACCUGCAGAAAAAGCGCCGGCUAACUACGUGCCAGCAGCCGCGGUAAUACGUAGGGCGCAAGCGUUAUCCGGAAUUAUUGGGCGUAAAGAGCUCGUAGGCGGUUUGUCGCGUCUGCUGUGAAAUCCCGAGGCUCAACCUCGGGUCUGCAGUGGGUACGGGCAGACUAGAGUGCGGUAGGGGAGAUUGGAAUUCCUGGUGUAGCGGUGGAAUGCGCAGAUAUCAGGAGGAACACCGAUGGCGAAGGCAGAUCUCUGGGCCGUAACUGACGCUGAGGAGCGAAAGGGUGGGGAGCAAACAGGCUUAGAUACCCUGGUAGUCCACCCCGUAAACGUUGGGAACUAGUUGUGGGGUCCAUUCCACGGAUUCCGUGACGCAGCUAACGCAUUAAGUUCCCCGCCUGGGGAGUACGGCCGCAAGGCUAAAACUCAAAGGAAUUGACGGGGACCCGCACAAGCGGCGGAGCAUGCGGAUUAAUUCGAUGCAACGCGAAGAACCUUACCAAGGCUUGACAUAUACGAGAACGCUGCAGAAAUGUAGAACUCUUUGGACACUCGUAAACAGGUGGUGCAUGGUUGUCGUCAGCUCGUGUCGUGAGAUGUUGGGUUAAGUCCCGCAACGAGCGCAACCCUCGUUCUAUGUUGCCAGCACGUAAUGGUGGGAACUCAUGGGAUACUGCCGGGGUCAACUCGGAGGAAGGUGGGGAUGACGUCAAAUCAUCAUGCCCCUUAUGUCUUGGGCUUCACGCAUGCUACAAUGGCCGGUACAAAGGGCUGCAAUACCGUAAGGUGGAGCGAAUCCCAAAAAGCCGGUCCCAGUUCGGAUUGAGGUCUGCAACUCGACCUCAUGAAGUCGGAGUCGCUAGUAAUCGCAGAUCAGCAACGCUGCGGUGAAUACGUUCCCGGGUCUUGUACACACCGCCCGUCAAGUCAUGAAAGUCGGUAACACCUGAAGCCGGUGGCCCAACCCUUGUGGAGGGAGCCGUCGAAGGUGGGAUCGGUAAUUAGGACUAAGUCGUAACAAGGUAGCCGUACCGGAA